rnacentral:rRNA from 1 species
ACGGAGGGUGCAAGCGUUAUCCGGAUUCACUGGGUUUAAAGGGUGCGUAGGCGGGUUGGUAAGUCCGUGGUGAAAUCUCCGAGCUUAACUCGGAAACUGCCGUGGAUACUAUCAAUCUUGAAUAUCGUGGAGGUAAGCGGAAUAUGUCAUGUAGCGGUGAAAUGCUUAGAUAUGACAUAGAACACCAAUUGCGUAGGCAGCUUACUACACGAUCAUUGACGCUGAGGCACGAAAGCGUGGGGAGCAAACAGGA